GCACCUGAAUUGUGGGCUCACCAUUAUUUGCAAACUAUUGCAAGUACAUAUAAGUUGUGCAAGAGUGAAUUUUAAUAGUAUUAUCACAAUUUAGGCGUUGCACUAGUCUGUGCCCACUGUCCACUUUUCAGGCAUACCGAGCUACAGGCCAAUAGUUGUGUGCCCAGGCCGCAGCCAGGAUUUCGUUUAGAUUUAUAGCAUUUUAUUCCUCGCACCAGCUAUCUGGAAUGUCUGACCGUCACAGUUUAUUGGGAAGACAUGUUAUGGAAACCGUUGCGGUUUCUUACUUGUUUUUCUUUGCGUUAUUCCAUGCCGGAACAGCCGCUUCAUCCAACGACGAUUCGAUGGUCAUCAUGCAACGGUUUCAACGACCCAGGCUCCAUAACAGUCGCGAUGCGUGGCGCUUUCUGGGCUUUCCGGCUCUUCGCAGCACUCCGAAAAAAUUAUGCACAACCCUGCCGUGCUCCUUGAGUCGUCCAUUAUCUAUCCACAACAAGCAGUUCAUGGUCGAUCAUGGGCAGGAUGAUUAACCGGCGUUUAAGCGGGAAGCCGGAUAUACUCGUACUGAUACCAGACGGCUGUAAAAUUUUCAUAUAUAGACUGUGAUUGGUCUUUACUACAAUAAUCAUUUGCGACUCCCAACCAUGGACAAAUCAGUCAAAAUUACUUACUCUUGCAGCUAUUUCAAAGCGAAAAUGUACUUCUUAUAAAACCUCGACCUUCAAGUUUCCGUGAAACGGUAUCUGCGUAUAGCAAUACCUGCAAAUGAGCCGUAUUUUAACGAUACGCAUAUCUUUACAUUGCAAAAUUAAUUAUUUGGGAAAAUAGCCACAGGUAAGUAUCUCAUGCCUAAAAUGUUGUAUGUUACAAGCAUUUUGUUCGAAGUCGAGUAUCCGAAUUUCUAUGGAUACUUGUAUUAAAAUUUCGAGUCGGUUGAACAUACUGAGGUACUGUGUCCAGUGCUCAUACUGCUUACUUUUGUUGUACUUUUUUCUAAUGUCGGAUCGGCUGUGCCCUUCAUUGAUAAAAAUCAUGAAAUUACUGUAUCUUUACAAGCAUUACCUGUUUUUUAUUUGUGACUUUAUACUCGAUAAGUGCACUUUGUAGUAAAUGCUAUACUCACCCAUAUUCUGCAUGAAACGAAUACCGAACAAAACUGGGCGUGUGAAAA